rnacentral:lncRNA from 10 species
AUUCAGCCCUAAAUGCUGCCAUGGGGUCGGAGCCCAUGGUCCUCAAGACCCGCCCGCCUACAUGCUGCCCUUAGGGGCUGGAGCUGUGGGGCACUGAAACAGCCAGUCACAGCCCCAUCACAUGCCCGGCAAGGGGGUAAGGGAACUUUUCUUGUUUCAACAUUUCUUUUUUAUUUUUGUUUUUAGGGUGAUAAGAUAUCUUUCUUUCUGUACCCCUUUUCUCCUAAAAUCAAUGCAGGUGAGGUGGGUGAGUAAGGAGUGUUAUUUUUAAAUAGCCUGUUAGGUAUACUUGGGUGAGUGGGACGGUUGUAAGUAUAUUUUUAUGAAUCUUGCUUAAUACUGAUCAUUAGCUCUCAAGCCCAGUCAGCAAAAUGCUUUCAUUUUUAACUGUAGAACAAUGACCCAGCUGAAUUUUUAUUUUUUCUAUUUAAGAAAAGUAAGCACAGAAUUAGGAGUAUUAAAAUGGGCAUGUGGCCUCAUGUUAAAAUGACUAAAUCUCCUAAUUUGUAGUUGUCCAAGACAGUCAAGAUAAGAGGGAACAUGCACUAUCAGAUUAACUCUCCUUGGACACAGCAACCGUGCUACAAGCCAGUCUGCCCUGUUGACUGACAUAUUUCUGUUUUUGUGUGUGCUAAGUUCCCUCGUACUUGUUUCCAUUGUACUGACUGCCUUUGACACUUGUAAAUAGGAAAUUGCUGUAAUAAUGUUAAUCCCAUCAAUUCAGUGAAUGGGUGGAAGGAAGAUUUUCCCCCAAACCUUUAGGCAAAAGUUGGUUUUAGUUUGUUUUUCUCUUUUGGCUUUCACUUGAAUCUGAAAUGUUACCAUUGCGGGCCACAUUUGACAUGUGACAGGCAAGGAGCAGGUGAACAAUCAAUGGAAAAGUGUUGUGUUUUUUUUUUUUUUUUUAAAUACUCCUGUGUUAGCUAACAGACUUCUGACCACGUCACUGCCGUUCACAGAGAAGGCUGAAGAAGGUAGCGAGCAGAUGCUGUAUCAGCUACUACAGCCUUAAAACAAAGUUGGUGUCUCUUUGGAUUUUAAAAUUGUUCCUGUGCUGCUUAUUUUAUUUCUGUUUAACCAAGUAAACAGGAUAAUUUUUCCAUAGAGAAGAAAAAAAAUGAUUUCCUACUUAAAGAAAGGGAAUUAGAUUAAAUCAAUCACAACAGGACUAUGAGUUUCCAAAAUACAACUAUAGAAAAAAGUACCAGUACUCACAAGCCAUGCACAUGUCCAUGUGAGAAGAAGCAGAGGACUGCCACCAGCC